CUGGAAACCCUUUUCUGCCUUCUUCAUCUACUAUUAUUGGCAGUCUUCUCUACUUCCAGACCUAUAAGGAAAGGUUCAUAUGAUAUUGUGCUCCUAGUAUGAAUUUUUCCCUGUAUACACUAAAGAGCACUGCACUAGAGCACUAAAUUAGCCCAAAAAAUAAAAAAAAAAUAAAAAUAAAGAUAAACAAAAAUAAAGUCUAAACUAGUUAAGAAUCAUAUAAAAGUAUAUUGUAAACCACGAAUCCCGG
rnacentral:lncRNA from 1 species